rnacentral:rRNA from 1 species
AUUGAACGCUAGCGGAAUGCCUUACACAUGCAAGUCGAACGGCAGCACGGACUUCGGUCUGGUGGCGAGUGGCGAACGGGUGAGUAAUGUAUCGGAACGUACCCAGUAGCGGGGGAUAACUACUCGAAAGAGUAGCUAAUACCGCAUACGCCCUACGGGGGAAAGCGGGGGAUCUUCGGACCUCGCACUAUUGGAGCGGCUGAUAUCGGAUUAGCUAGUUGGUGAGGUAAAGGCUCACCAAGGCGACGAUCCGUAGCUGGUUUGAGAGGACGACCAGCCACACUGGAACUGAGACACGGUCCAGACUCCUACGGGAGGCAGCAGUGGGGAAUUUUGGACAAUGGGGGAAACCCUGAUCCAGCCAUUCCGCGUGUGUGAAGAAGGCCUUCGGGUUGUAAAGCACUUUUGGCGGGAAAGAAACGGCGUCGACU